CAGACUGGACGCAUGCAAGCUACAGCGACAAUGGUGGCCUGUAAUAGAUUGUGUGAAGAGGUUAGAAAGUACCCUCAUUUGUACAACUCUGGCAUGAAAGAAUACAAAGAUAUUUACAUAAGUUGUAACUUGUAGCGAGAGAUUGCUCAAAACUGUGCAUGCGUCGAACGCCUGUGUACGCGUACGAGUCAAAUGAAGUAUACUUUGCAAGGCUGUGCGUUCGACUGUGUGCAUACACUAGUUUACGCAUAAAAAAAUGAAGUAGGGCUAGAGAGACAUUACAAAAGGUUGCUGAGGGUGGUUUUAAUGUUUCACAAAACCAAGAUGUGCUGUUGUUGUAAUGUUAGCUCUAGUAACAGUACAGUUUUGAGUGUAAUUUUUUGUCUGGAGCUGGCGACUAAAAACCAACUCUUGCUUGUAUAUACUCUUGUAUGUUCAUUGUUUGAUAUUUCUUGUCGUUUGUUUGUCAUUUUCGCUUUAUUUUUCGCUUUUGCAAUGAUGAAGAGACAUCAUUUGCAUGUUUAUGUCUUUUGUGGGUGGAGCAAUGAAGGAGUGUUUGUUUGGGUUGGUAUAAAAUAUCAACAGUGUUUCUCAGAAGACGCUUACUGCACCGUUAAAAUAGUUUUUCUCACUUUUUUUUUUUUUUUUUCACAUUUUUCUGUUUUUCACUUGUUUAAAAUAGUUGUUUAGUCACACAGUUCCAGGCGAAUGGGAUAUUAUUUGUCCAGUAAGCAGGCAGUGGGAAACCCAUGCGGAGGCUGGUGAUGAAAGCACUUCUAUAUUUAUCAGACUCAUUAACCCCUGUGGGUGUCUGAUAUAGAGAAACACGACCCAGCUGAUGCUGACCAAUGCAUGACACAGCUGGGCUUCUUCUGAGAGACGUGUGUGUGCGUGUGAGCCUCCAGCUUUCAUUGUGUUUAUGACUUCAUCUUUUAAUGUGUGCAGCCUGAAGGACGCUGACAAUGUUGUACAAUUGAAACGGAAGAAAUGUCCUUUCCAUAAGGAAAUGUGAGCGUGACUGCUGUGCAAAAGCCGCUUCAACAGCACACCGUCCUUAACAAGAUUUAUUUCAGGAAUCCUUCAUGUCUUACUCAUCAGAAUCCUCAAAACAAUAGAAGGGCUGAGAUGAUAUUGGAGCCUUUAAAAUGAAGUCACUGUUCAGAAGACGUCCGGAAUGUGGCAUCUUUCCCAUCGGUGUAGCAUGUUUCAGCUCAUUCAGAUGGCGUUUCGAGGGAAAUGAGUGCGUUAUUGUCUGAGAAAGCAUGUUUGUUUGCUCUUGGCUGAGGUCAAGUGGCAGUGAAAGUUUUAUGUAGGUCAAACCAAAUCCAAGACAUCAGGUGACGGUAAGACUUCCUGACAGGCCUCUCGCUUUCCCCCUGCUGGCCUGAGCAUGUCAACGCAGACCUCAAAGGCAUCAACCCAUUUAGAAAAAAAACUUUAAUUUUUAUGUAAAUAAAAACCCUAUUCAGAGAUAGCAGACAUACAGAAUAAUAAAUAUCACAAUAUUUCC